rnacentral:rRNA from 1 species
CUGUGAUGCCCUUAGAUGUUCUGGGCCGCACGCGCGCUACACUGACGGAGCCAACGAGUACUUUCCUUGUCCGGAAGGACUGGGUAAUCUUGUGAAACUCU